CUUGUUCAACGGCCGCGGUAUCCUAACCGUGCGAAGGUAGCGUAAUCACUUGUUUCCUAAAUAGAGACUAGUAUGAAAGGCAUCACGAGGGUUUAACUGUCUCCUCUAUCUAAUCAGUGAAAUUAAUCCCCUCGUGAAAAAGCGAGGAUCCCCCUAUAAGACGAGAAGACCCUAUGGAGCUUAAAACAUCUUACACGUGUCCCCCCCCCCCCUUUUAACCCUGACACGCUGAUUUUAUGUUUUUGGUUGGGGUGACCGCGGAGAAAAUCUCAUCCUCCGCAGUGAAAGGAGUAAUCCUUAACGACGAGCUACAACUCUAUGUAUUAGUACACUAACACCUAUUGACCCAUGAAUUGAUUAAUGAACCAAGUUACCCUAGGGAUAACAGCGCAAUCCACUUUAAGAGCCCCUAUCGACAAGUGGGCUUACGACCUCGAUGUUGGAUCGGGAUGCCCUAGUGGUGCAGCCGCUACUAAGG
rnacentral:rRNA from 1 species